rnacentral:rRNA from 1 species
CUUGGUCAUUUAGAGGAAGUAAAAGUCGUAACAAGGUUUCCGUAGGUGAACCUGCGGAAGGAUCAUUAACGAGUUUACAAGUCGGUCGACCGUGCUGGCGGAGACGCAUGUGCACGUCGGUCGCAAAUCUCAUCCACACACCUGUGAACGUAUGGCCUCUGGGUACUCGCUGCCUGGGGGCAAACCUUUUUCACCCACUCUGUUUGUAAAGGAAUGUCAUGUGUGCGAAAUGCGCAAAAUGAAACAACUUUCAACAACGGAUCUCUUGGCUCUCGCAUCGAUGAAGAACGCAGCGAAAUGCGAUAAGUAAUGUGAAUUGCAGAAUUCAGUGAAUCAUCGAAUCUUCGAACGCACCUUGCACCCUUUGGUAUUCCGAAGGGUACGCCCGUUUGAGAGUCAUUGUAUUCUCACCCCGGAAGUUUCUUUCUGGGAGUGGACUUGGACGUUGCCGUGUCACGGCUCGUCUCGAACGUCUCAGUGUGACCCGUUCAUAGGCGUCUACAGUGUGAUAGGUAUCUUCACUGUGUAGUCUCUUCGGAGGCGCGCUCUCGGACGACAGUCUACGCUGCCAACCGUCUUCGGACAAUACUCUGACGAUUUGACCUCAAAUCGGGUGGGACUACCCGCUGAACUUAAGCAUAUCAAUAAGCGGAGGA